rnacentral:rRNA from 1 species
GACGAACGCUGGCGGCGUGCUUAACACAUGCAAGUCGAACGGAAAGGCCCUGCUUUUGUGGGGUGCUCGAGUGGCGAACGGGUGAGUAACACGUGAGUAACCUGCCCUUGACUUUGGGAUAACUUCAGGAAACUGGGGCUAAUACCGGAUAGGAGCUCCUGCUGCAUGGUGGGGGUUGGAAAGUUUCGGCGGUUGGGGAUGGACUCGCGGCUUAUCAGCUUGUUGGUGGGGUAGCGGCUUACCAAGGCUUUGACGGGUAGCCGGCCUGAGAGGGUGACCGGCCACACGGGAACUGAGACAGGGUCCAGACUCCUACGGGAGGCAGCAGGAGGGAGUCUUCCGCAAUGGGCGGAAGCCUGACGGAGCAGCGCGGCGUGAGUGAUGAAGGUCUUCGGAGCGUAAAACUCUGUUAUUAGGGAAGAACAUAUGUGUAAGUAAAUGUGCAGAGCUUGACGGUACCUAAUCAGAAAGACACGGCUAACUACGUG